rnacentral:lncRNA from 1 species
AAGAGGUUCAAGCAAACUUAACUGAUAACACUUCUGUAUAAUACUAUUUGUAUAAUACUAUUUGUGCCAGUUACGUGUUUACAAUCAAUGCUUUCUGUCUGGUAAGUUUUCUAUAUUGUAUGCACAUUAUUAAUUGUUCUUCUUUUUAGAUGCUAUUAGAAAUAAGAAAUAUGAUUUGAAGAUCAAUAAGUUCGUUUAAGUUUUUCAAGAAUUAUUAAUAUUUUUUUUUAUUCCUCUGACGAUUACUCUGUUUUUGUGUUUUAGAAUUGUCUCUGUAGAUUUUUUUAUACUUUUUUUUAAAUGAAUGCCUCUUAGGAUUAUAUUGUUUUGUGUUUUAAAUUUUUUUCUGAAGAUUAUUUUGAUUUUGUAUUUCAAGGAAGAGUAUUGUUGAUGUUAUGUUUUCAGAAUUGGAGACUAAUUUGACUUUUUUUAAUGUUAGCUCUGAAGAUUAUUUGGCUUUUGGUUUUUUAUAAAUUGCUCUGAAGAAUAAUUUACUUUAAAAAAAAUAUUAUGAAUUGCUCUGAAGAAUAAUUUACUUUAAAAAAAAAUAUUAUGAAUUGCUCUGAAGAAUAAUUUACUUUAAAAAAAAAUAUUAUGAAUUGCUCUGAUGACUAUUUUGCUUGUUUUUUUUUUUUUUUGUUGUUUUUUUUUUAAAUUGCUUUAGAGAUUUUUUUUUUGUAUUUUGGGGGAAUUUCUUUGAAGAAGAUUGUUGCUUUUUUUCUUUGGAAUGGCUCUGAAGAUUAUUUUGCUUUUGUUUAGAAAAUUCUUUUUUUUUGUCUCGCCUGUAGUGCGAGACAUAAAUGUUAAUAUUCGGUGGCUGUGGCGUAAACUAUGUGUGUAAAGCUUUAUAAUUCAGAUAGUAAAAAGACCUGGAUGCUUUAUACUUCUAAACCAAUACCUUAUGUUACUAAUUUUUGGUCUGUCAUAUAUUCAUUGUCUUUGACCUCAUUUUCAUGGGUCAGCGAGUGUUUAAAAAAAAAGGUUCAUUUUGUCAUGCGAAUAUCUCACUUUUUAUGAGUAGUUGGCGAAAUAUAUUUGGCAUAUGGGUCCAAUGGAACGUCUACACUUCGUCAGAAAGAGUUCACAUGAAUUCGACCUCAUUUCGUGAAUCAGGGAUCCAGGUUAAAGUUAUAUAGAAGUGAGAGGUUUAACUAGCUUUAAAACCAGGUUUAAUCCAACAUUUUCUACAUAAAAAAUGCCUGUACCAAGUCAGAAAUAUGGAAGUUGUUAUCCAUUCGUUUGAUGUGUUUGAGCUUUUGAUUUUGCCAUUUGAUUAGGGACCUUCUAUUUUGAAUUCUCCUCGGAGUUCAGUAUUUUUCUCAAGUACUAUGAGCAGUAAGACAACUUUAUAUGCAGUAUGGAAUUAUUGUUAGGGUACAUGUCAGUCUGGCAGGUUUCAUCUGACCUUGACCUCAAUUUCAUGGUUCAUUGGUCAAUGUUACGUUUUUUGUGUUUGGUCUGUUUUGUAAGUACUAUAAGCAAAAUAUGUCAACUAUAUUUGGUGUAUGGAAUUAUCGUAAGGUGUACAUGUUUGUCUUGCCGGUAUCAUCUGUUCCUGACCUCAUUUUCAUGGUUCGUUGGUCCAUGUUCAUUUUUUGUGUUGUGGUUGGUUUUCGAAUACUAAUAGCAAUAGGUCAGCUUCUUUUGGUGUACGGGACAAUUACAUUUUGUACAUGUCUAUUUGACAGGUAUUAUCUGACCUUGGUCAAUGAUAAGUUUUCCUAAAUUUUUUCUUCAGUCUGUUAGAUACUUUAAGCAACAGUUCAACUAUAAUUGGUGUAUUGUAUGGUUGUAAGGUGUACAUUUGUCUGGCCUGGUUCAUUUGACCAUGACCUCAUUAUCACAAAACAUUGAUAAUGUUAAGUUUAAGCGAUACUUUUAGUAAACCCCUCAUGUUACAAACUUUCAACAUAUAUUCAACGAUAAGUAAAACAGGAGAGUCACUUCAACGUGUGGAUUCUUGUUAUGAAUUGCUAUAAAUAUUUUUUUUUUUUUUUUUUUCGUUUUUCAAUGAAUUAUUUUGAAGAUUAUUUGCUUAUUUUUUAUUUUUAGGAAUAGCUCAGAAGAUUAUUUGGUCUUUAGGAUUUUUUGUUCAGGAACUACUGUACAUUUUGUUUUUAUUUUUUGAAAGGAUUUGAUACGAAUAUUAUUUACUAAUUCUUUUUGGGAAUGUUUUUUGCAGAUCAUUUUGUGUUGGUUACUUUUAAAAUGAUUGGCUUCAAGGUUUUUAUUUUUCAGAAAUGGCUUUGAGGAAUAUUUUGUUUGCUCUUGUUGUUAUCUCAACUUAUUUGAAUCUUGUAAGUUCAGACGGAGGUACAUGUAAAACUACAUUUGAGAACAAAGAAGUAGAAAUUAAUUAUGGCGAUACAGUUUGGCUGAACCCUUGCCUUUUUUGUUGGUGCUAUGAAGAUACCGAAGAAGCCGGGUGUAAUACUGUAGACUGUCAUUCAUGGAGUUGUGAUUACGGUCUCAAACUGACAUAUCUGGACGGACACUGUUGUCCUUCUUGUCUUCCAACUGAUCAGUGAUUUUAUAGCAUUUAUAUCAUAUAACAGUUAGCCUCUAUACAACUAUACACAUGGAAAAAAGUAUUGCAACACCGAAUUGAAAUUCAAGUUAAAAAAACGCUCUUUAGUUUUUUGGGAUAUAAUUUGUUGAAAUAGAACUAGUUAAACAUUACUUAAAUCUCACCUGAGUUUAAUCAAUAAAUAUCGACUCGAUAAGUUCUUAUCUGCACAUGCAGCUACUGUACCCUUACACAAUAAAACAGAUGUUUUUAUCGUCAUUGUUUUCAACACUAUAAAUAACCAAGUUUAUAAAGUUAUGUGAUUGACACCUUGUAAUGGGUCCUCCACAACUCUUAACUGCAGCAAGAGGGCAGAUUAUUAGCAUGAGAGAAGCAGGUAUGUCGCUGUGACAAUUGCACGUAUUGUUGGUCAUCACCAUUCCACUAUAAGUCGUUUUGAGAAUAAAAAUCAGGCAACAAACGACGUUAAAGACCUUCCGAGAUCAAGAAGAACCCCUAUUACAUCUGUUAGGGAAAAUCAAGCAUACUGAAGGUUGAAAUUGGUCAGAAGGAACCCAUUAUAAGCAAUACAAUUAUAAAAAGAGAGCGGUUGACAUACAGGAGACUUUAAACAAGAACAGUUCGAGAUCGAUUCAUCGCUUCUGGUCAUCGUGACAUAAGACCAUUUCGGAGACCUUUGCUUUCGAACAGACAUACAGUGGCUCGUGUCCAAUGUAGUGCAGAGCUCGACAAAGUUGGAAAUUAGCAUCUUGGAGGAAGAUCCAUUGUUCCAAUGGAAUUCGGUUUAUCUUCCUUGGCCCGAUCAUAGCCCGGAUUUGAACCAUAUCGAGCAUAUAUGGGACCCUAUUUGGUGUUAAGUGCGCGAAAGGACACUCCCAGUUCAAACACGUCAUGAAAUAAACAUCAGGAAUGGUUGCGGUUACCUCAGCAACAAAUUAGUCGAGUGGUGGCAGGAAUCAGAAGACGUUAAGAGGCGGUUAUCCGUUUGAAUGGAGGCUGCGCCAAGUUCUAAUUCUUUGGCGUAUAACGAUCAACCAUGAUGUCAACAAUCAUCUUAAGAUUAAUUUUGGAAUGACUGACAUUGUAAAGAUCGACUACAGUAUAAGUUGUCACAGUUGUACAAAAAAUACUUCAUUUUGUUAUCAAAAUUGUGGUUAGAUAAAACAUUUUUUUUCAUACAUUUUUUUAUUCGUUUUAAUGCCAACGUUAUCAUUAAGUAUGUCUCAAUAUUAUUUUGCAAAUAUUUUAUCAUAGCCUAUCCAAAAUAAGAGGCUGAU